AUUGAACGCUGGCGGCAGGCCUAACACAUGCAAGCCGAGCGGUAACAGAGUGAAGCUUGCUUUUCUGCUGACGAGCGGCGGACGGGUGAGUAAUGCCUAGGAAUCUGCCUAGUAGUGAGGGAUAACUUGCCGCACGGUAAGCUAAUACCGCAUAUGCCCUACGGGCGAAAGGUGGGGACCUUGCGGACUUUCGCCAUUAGAUGAGCCUAGGUCGGAUUAGUUCGUCGGUGAGGUAAUGGCUCACCAAGACCGCGAUCCGUAACUGGUAUGAGAGGAUGAUCAGUCACACUGGAACUGAGACACGGUCCAGACUCCUACGGGAGGCAGCAGUGGGGAAUAUUGGACAAUGGGGGGAACCCUGAUCCAGCCAUGCCGCGUGUGUGAAGAAGGUCUUAGGAUUGUAAAGCACUUUAAGUUGGGAGGAAGAGCAGUUAACUAAUAUUUGACUGUUUUGACGUUACCGACAGAAUAAGCACCGGCUAACUUCGUGCCAGCCGCCGCAGUAACAC
rnacentral:rRNA from 1 species